GCCUGUUUUGCUUUUACAUAAUCUCCUGUGUUCUCUUUCUUUAUAAUUGCGAGCUCGUUCCAGGAAGAAGUAGCUUCUAAGCAGGCCAGACCUGCUUCUAGAUAUUGAUAAUGUCCUCUCUUCAAUGCUCGGCAUCUGUGAGCAGUAAAGUGAGCGAAGACAGGUCCAGAGACAUCAGAAGAGCUGAUGCAUUACUGCAAAAGAUACGUUCGCUAGGUGGGCUCUCAAUCCAAGACAGGACCUAUCACCUGAGGUCAUAUUACUCUUGCUUCAUCGCGUCUGAACUUGUUGAUUGGUUGAUAACGUCUGGAGAAGCAGAGGACAGAGCUCAGGCAGUGUUACUAGGCCAGUUGCUUAUUGAUACUGACUACAUUCAUCAUGUUGUUGAUGAACACAACUUUGAAGAUGCUUAUCUUUUCUUUAGAUUCAGACAAGAUGAGCCACCUCAUGAAGCAAUGUCUGGCCCGUCUGUUGCUUACAUGAAAGGAGAGCAAGGGACGCUGAUCAGUCUCUUAGCAAAGAGAAGACCGUUAGCUCUUGGCUGGAGCUAUGGAGUAUUUGCCCUUUCAUCAAAGAACAAGAAAAUAUAUCAAUUCAAAUCAGAACUGGAUUCAUCUCCAGUCCAGGUCUUCUGUUUAGAGUGUAUGUCCGUCCAGCCUGAUGCCGUAAAAACUAGUGGGCGAUUUUCACUUCAGUUUUACGAGAACCAUCCCCAGGGAAAAGAGAAAGCAUUGUGUUUAGCUGCUGAUAAUGUUGAUACGCAGUUUAUGUGGAUCAGGGCCCUCUCAUCUUGUGGUGUUGAAGUGUUACAAUCUCCUGAAGAGGAAACUGCUCAAUUGAAGAAUGCUACAUCCAUCUUUGAAUUCUCUGCUGUUGAUAUUGACAAGAAAACUGUCUCACUGGAUAAAUAUCGUGGCCAUGUUACAUUGAUAGUUAAUGUGGCUAGUCAAUGAGGCUUAGCUGAGAAGAAUUACACUCAAUUAGUGCAACUUCAUUCUCAGUACGCACACACUAGGGGAUUGAGGAUACUUGCCUUCCCGUGCAACCAGUUCAAACAGGAGCAAGGGAGUGAAGCAGAGAUCAAGGAGUUUGCACGGCGUUUUGGGGUUGAGUUCGACAUGUUUUCAAAGAUUGACGUGAAUGGUCCUGAUGCUCAUCCACUGUACAAGUUUUUGAAGUCCAGACUGAAAGGAAGUCUUGGAAACUUCAUAAAGUGGAACUACGCUAAGUUUUUAUGUGAUGCAAAUGGAAAGCCAUUCAGACGAUACUCACCAACAACGCAACCAUUGGACAUUGUACCUGACAUGGAAGCAUUGUGGUCUUCAGAAACAUAGACUCUUUUCACUUAUCAUUAUUAUUAUUAUUUAUAUCUUUCUCUCUUAAAUCGUACUAUAAUAAGAUGGUGUUGUAGGCUUGGUUUAUCUUCUGUGAGUGCUAGUGAAGGUCUAACUAUAAACCACUCAUAGUGGGUUGUUAAGCCUGAUGUGACUGCACUUGGAAAUAAACUAACAACGACUCAUCAAAAUAAUAAUAUUUAUAGUCAUUUAUGUCUCUACCUCUUCUGCUAUUUGCUCUGAUGUGUUUUUAUUGCUUUAUUAUGAUUAAAAUGAUAUGCAAACAGACACAGACACUUAA